GACGAACGCUGGCGGCGUGCUUAACACAUGCAAGUCGAACGGAAAGGCCCUGCUUUUGUGGGGUGCUCGAGUGGCGAACGGGUGAGUAACACGUGAGUAACCUGCCCUUGACUUUGGGAUAACUUCAGGAAACUGGGGCUAAUACCGGAUAGGAGCUCCUGCUGCAUGGUGGGGGUUGGAAAGUUUCGGCGGUUGGGGAUGGACUCGCGGCUUAUCAGCUUGUUGGUGGGGUAGUGGCUUACCAAGGCUUUGACGGGUAGCCGGCCUGAGAGGGUGACCGGCCACAUUGGGACUGAGAGACGGCCCAGACUCCUACGGGAGGCAGCAGUGGGGAAUAUUGCACAAUGGGCAGAAGCCUGAUGCAGCAACGCCGCGUGCGGGAUGACGGCCUGCGGGUUGUAAACCGCUUUCGCCUGUGACGAAGCGUGAGUGACGGUAAUGGGUAAAGAAGCACCGGCUAACUACGUG
rnacentral:rRNA from 1 species